UCACUAAUGACACAUUUCAUUUCAUUGAACUGAAUUGAAUUUUUUUAAUAAACGUCGGGGAUUCUAACGGCAUUUGGGGCUUAAUGCAGGUUUUUUUUUAUAGAUGUGUGUUUGAAAUGUAAUCCUCAGUAAAAUCCAAUCUGCAUAAAACGUCCGGGGUUCAGCCCUGAACGCCAGUGUCAGACGAAACCUUUCAUCCAGUCCAAUUGAGUAAUAUGUGCUAAGUUUUCAUAUUCCCAUCUGCCCUUGAAUGCAACUGCGCUUGCGUGUGUGCGUGACGUAGCUUCGAGCGGAUCUGCGCUAGAGGCACACGGUAGACGUUAGGCCCUGCAGCUGGUUUGUUUUCUCCAGAUGAACGUCCGAAUGAUUCUGCACAAAGAGUCGGAUCCUAAAACAGUUCUUUGGAACGCCGACAGACCUGGUGUCAACACGCUGCAGCCAUGGGCUCGUCUGUCAAACUGAGCCAAGACCUGAAAAUGAAGCUUGUUGAUGCAUACAGAGAUGGAAAGGGCUACAAGAAGAUUUCAAAGUGUUUUGGAUUUUCGAUUUCCACCAUUCGGAACGUGAUCAGAAAAUGGAAGUCAACAGGAUCUGCGGAAGUCAAGGCAAGAUCUGGAAGGCCAAGAAAAAUAUCAAAGCAAACUGCGCAUCUGAUGGGCAGAAAGGCAACAGAGAACCCCCACCUGACAGUAAAGGAGCUGCAGAUAGGGCUGGCAGAUGCAGGAGUGGUGGUGCAUGCGUCCACCGUGCAGCGUUGUUUGAACAAACAGGGUCUCCACAGAAGAAUCCGGAAGAAGGCUCAGAAAGACGCUGAACCAGAGCGGAGUACACAUGAAGCUCGAACAGACAAACUGGAAUAAUCUGUAGUUAUUUAGUUUAACUUGUUGACAACAGGAGAGAAGAAAUAUGAUUGUCCUUAUCUAUUUAAACUGUCUUUGACUGCAGGUGCAAUAAAAGAAGCCAAAGCAUGAA